GGCUGUAGCUCAGUGGUAGAGCAUUUGCCUAGCAUGUAUGAGGCACUGUGUUCAAUUCUCAACACCA
rnacentral:tRNA from 1 species